CAGGCGUUGACUGAAGUCUAUGCCAAGGUAACUGCCUCUGAGCGUGAAGUGUGUCUCCUUUGAGUGGAGUCCGCGGGGCCUUCAUGGAUGAGCUCUCGAUUCAUAAAUCCUGGGGCCUGGACACAGUGCAGGUGCCCAGGUUUGGGGAGAGCGUGCCUCUGAGCCCCAGGUGAGCAGCCUGGCUUUCACUGUGACAUGACCUUGAGCUCUGCAAACCCAUGGCUGUUCUCCCGUUUUCUUAGGCCAAUAGCUUCACCGUCUCCUCUGUGGCCGCCCCUUCCUGGCUUCACCGUUUCAUCAUUGGCAAGAAAGGGCAGAACCUGGCCAAAAUCACUCAGCAGAUGCCAAAGUAAACAGAAUCAAAGACCAGUACAAGGUGUCCGUGCGCAUCCCUCCUGACAGUGAGAAGAGCAAUUUGAUCCGCAUCGAGGGGGACCCACAGGGCGUGCAGCAGGCCAAGCGAGAGCUGCUGGAGCUUGCAUCUCGCAUGGAAAAUGAGCGUACCAAGGAUCUAAUCAUUGAGCAAAGAUUUCAUCGCACAAUCAUUGGGCAGAAGGGUGAACGGAUCCGUGAAAUUCGUGACAAAUUCCCAGAG
rnacentral:sRNA from 1 species